GACGAACGCUGGCGGCGCGCUUAACACAUGCAAGUCGAACGGAAAGGCCCUGCUUUUGUGGGGUGCUCGAGCGGCGAACGGGUGAGUAACACGUGAGUGACCUGCCCUUGCCUUUGGGAUACCUUCAGGUAACUGGGGCUACUACCGGCUAGGAGCUCCUGCUGCAUGGUGGGGGUUGGAAAGUUUCGGCGGUUGGGGAUGGACUCGCGGCUUAUCAGCUUGUUGGUGGGGUAGUGGCUUACCAAGGCUUUGACGGGUAGCCGGCCUGAGAGGGUGACCGGCCACAUUGGGACUGAGAUACGGCCCAGACGCCUACGAGAGGCAGCAGUGGGGAAUAUUGCACGAUGGACAGAAGCCUGAUGCAGCGACGCCGCGUGCGGGGUGACAGCCUGCGGGUUGUGAACCGCUGUCGCGUGUGACGAAGCGUGAGUGACGGUAAUGGGUAGAGAAACACCGGCUAACUACAUG
rnacentral:rRNA from 1 species